CUGUUCUCAUGUCAGGCCCUGUUCAUUCUGGUUCAUAGUAGUAUUAUAUUCUGCCCUCGGUUUCUGUUUUAGCUCUGUUCUCAGCUGUUCCUCAUUUCCAUUUUUUUGUUGUCACUCCACGCCCCUGCACCUGCCACUGUGUCUUCGUCCCUCACUCAUAUGUGGUUGUGUUGUCACUUCAUGCCUCUUCACCAGCUCUUGUGUCCUCAUCUCUCACACAAAUUCUUUCUGCUUUGUGUUUCUCUUCACUCACGGUCUUGGCACCUGUUCACGUCUUUGUCUUUUCAUCACUCCACGUUGUGUUGUCUCCACCUCACUAUCUUGCACAGUCUUUGUCCUCCAGCCACGAACACCUCCCCCAGGGUUC